rnacentral:rRNA from 1 species
UUGUUGCGGUUAAAACGUUCGUAGUUGAAUUUGUGUCCCACACGGGUAAUUGGCCCACUUACGGGUUCUUAUUACUUGCCGGCUUGCUGGCUUUAGUGUGCGGACGUUUUACCGGUGAGGGAAACGGUGUAGUUUCGGCUGCAAUACGCCCCUUAUUUAUUUCAUAAACCCGUCUUGGUGCUUUUAAUCGAGUGCCAAUGUGGGCCGGUACUAUUACUUUGAACAAAUUAGAGUGCUUAAAGCAGGCUAAAUUUAAUGAAAGUUAAAACGCCUGAAUAUAUUUUGCAUGGAAUAAUGGAAUAGGACCUCUGUUCUACUUUCAUUGGUUUUUAGACCAAGAGGUAAUGAUUAAUAGAAGCAGUUGGGGGCAUUAGUAUUACGAGGCGAGAGGUGAAAUUCGUAGACCCUCGUAAGACUAACUUAAGCGAAAGCAUUUGCCAAGGAUGUUUUCAUUAAUCAAGAACGAAAGUUAGAGGAUCGAAGGCGAUCAGAUACCGCCCUAGUUCUAACCAUAAACGAUGCCAGCUAGCAAUUGUAUGUAGCUACUAAUUUUGGUUCAUACAGUCGCUUUCCGGGAAACCAAAGCUUUUGGGCUCCGGGGGAAGUAUGGUUGCAAAGCUGAAACUUAAA